UACGUAGGGGGCAAGCGUUGUCCGGAAUCAUUGGGCGUAAAGAGCGCGUAGGCGGCCCAGUAAGUCCGCUCUGAAAGUCAGGGGCUCAACCCCUGAAUGCGGGUGGAUACUGCUGGGCUAGAGUCCGGAAGAGGUGAGUGGAAUUCCUGGUGUAGCGGUGAAAUGCGCAGAUAUCAGGAGGAACACCGAUGGCGAAGGCAGCUCACUGGGCCGAUACUGACGCUGAGGAGCGAAAGCGUGGGGAGCGAACAGG
rnacentral:rRNA from 1 species